ACCCGCUCGAGCACUCGGGGUCCCCGGGAGGCCAGCGGCGCUGGGCGUUCUGGGAGUUGUAGUCCACAGACCCCCAUCUGCAGCGCCGUCGCAGCGGCGACAGGACUACGUUUCCCAGAGGCCCGGGCGCGGAAUGGCGGCGGCCGGUGGCGCUGGGGAGUCGUGAGAGCUGGCUCCGGCUCCGGUUCCAACCCUGACACCGGCACCAGGACCAGGAGCAGGAUGUAUACACUACUGUCAGGGCUCUAUAAAUACAUGUUCCAGAGGGAUGAGUACUGUGUCCUGAUCCUGGGUUUGGACAAUGCUGGUAAAACUACCUUCCUUGAGCAAACUAAAACCCGAUUUAACAAGAAUUACAAAGGGAUGAGUUUGUCCAAAAUCACAACCACUGUAGGCUUAAACAUUGGAACUAUUGAUGUUGGCAAAACUCGGCUGAUGUUCUGGGACCUUGGUGGGCAGGAGGAGCUUCAGUCACUUUGGGACAAGUACUAUGCUGAAUCUCAUGGGGUGAUCUAUGUUAUUGACUCCACCGAUGAAGAGAGGCUCUCUGAGUCCAAAAGAGCUUUUGAGAAGAUGAUCACCAGUGAAGCUCUGGAAGGGGUUCCCAUUCUGGUGUUGGCCAACAAGCAGGAUGUAGAGGAACUAUUGCUUUGAAGGAGAAAUAAAACAUCUGAUAUCUAAUUCCUGUGAACUCCCUUUCACCUCAGAAUGCCACUUUUGAAAAUACAGCUUAUUGUAGAAAAAACAGCAAAAUAAGAAUUGAUAAUUGCUGUUUUGAUGUGAAUGCAGCUGUUGAAAGGUUUAUGCAAGGUAUGUAUUUCUAAGCUUUACAAUGAGCUGUUACAAUUUGGGAAUAGAAUGGCUCAUGAUGCCACACUAUUCAAAAUACUGGCAAAACAUGACUCAUCAAAAACAGCAUCUGAAAUUUAACAAUGUGAAAGUUACCAGGUGCUGUAUGAUGACCCACGUCUGGGAGGAAGUUUUCCAUCCUCAUCUAAAGCUAAAUUUUGGAAAUUUAAUUUGAAAUCUCCAGAAUGUUGAAAAGCCUCCUCAUGCCUUUGGAAAAUGUGAGGAGUCAUGUUCCAUUCUGAUGGCUGAUUACUCUUGAGAUGACUGAAGAGCCUCUACUUGAGGUUUUAUCCAUGCUUCCAGUUUUAUCCUGACAGGAGACCAGGCAGCAGCGUUAUCUUUGCUCCAGUGGAUUUGGGAAAUGGGCAAAGGCUCUACAACCUUUUUUUGUCUAAAACUUGCCUUGCUGCUUGAUAGAUUUUUUAAGUGUGUCAUUGCUGACUCUUACUUUGGGUAAUGCUAUUCUGAACCCUUUGUAGGAGGAAUUUGGUUCAGUCCUGGCUAGAUUAUGCCUGGGGGAGCCUUCAUCAAAAGAAAUUCCAUAGUGUGUUAUUUUGGGGAAGCUGAGAUGGAAAUCUGGUUCGUCAUGUGUUGUGUAUGAGGUUCCUGUGAAGUGGCUGAGAGAUACCAUCAUUCCUGAAAGGUCACUGUGGAUUGUGUUACUGUAAUGGAGCACUGUUGAUGUGAUCACAGAUCCAGCUUCCCUUCUUUGCCCUGAGGUUAUGGGUUUGCAGCUGAGAAACAAAACACAUCUGUAAACAAAUAUUUUGUAAUGUGGCUGGGGGGAAGGGGAACUUGGAAGCCACAGCUGACAUUUUCCCCUGAGCAUGAGAAGCUCAGAUGCCCCUUGCUGAAGUGAGGGAUAAUCUGCCUCAACCCCUGCUGUCUGUCACAUGAGAUUCCAGUUCAGGGCUUUUCCUGGAACACUAAAACAAGGUGUUAGCUGUGAUAGUUUGGUGUUACCCCUCUGCUGUGCUGCAAAGGGAAAAUGAUGUUCCUCAAAAUGGGAUUGGUGAUGCAGUGAUAUCCUGCUCUGACAGUGUGAAUGGUGCAGUCUCCUCAGAAGCAAAACUCUUUCUGAUGCAGGUUUCCAUGGAAAGCCAUGGCUGUGCAGCUCUGUGGAAGGUGGGGCAUGCCACAGCUCUACCAGAAGACUUGUCUCUCAAUACCUGAUAUCAAGACAGCAUUUAGUGACUGCAUUAACAAGAUUGGGAAGAGAGACUGCCUGACACAAGCCUGCUCAGCCCUUACUGGCAAAGGGGUGAAUGAAGGCAUUGAAUGGAUGGUGAAGUGUGUGGUGAGGAACAUCCACCGCCCCCCAAGAAAGAAGGACAUCACGUAGGAACUCCGAGCCAGCCAAGCAAUGGACAGUCUCUUUCCACACACUUUGUGUUCCCUUUAAAGAAGGUGAUCCACUGGAUUCCUAUUACACCUGAUUCUUUCCUAAGUUUGGAGACAAA